rnacentral:rRNA from 1 species
UGACGAGCGGCGGACGGGUGAGUAAUGCUUGGGAACAUGCCUUGAGGUGGGGGACAACCAUUGGAAACGAUGGCUAAUACCGCAUAAUGUCUACGGACCAAAGGGGGCUUCGGCUCUCGCCUUUAGAUUGGCCCAAGUGGGAUUAGCUAGUUGGUGAGGUAAAGGCUCACCAAGGCGACGAUCCCUAGCUGGUUUGAGAGGAUGAUCAGCCACACUGGAACUGAGACACGGUCCAGACUCCUACGGGAGGCAGCAGUGGGGAAUAUUGCACAAUGGGCGCAAGCCUGAUGCAGCCAUGCCGCGUGUGUGAAGAAGGCCUUCGGGUUGUAAAGCACUUUCAGUCAGGAGGAAAGGUUAGUAGUUAAUACCUGCUAGCUGUGACGUUACUGACAGAAGAAGCACCGGCUAACUCCGUGCCAGCAGCCGCGGUAAUACGGAGGGUGCGAGCGUUAAUCGGAAUUACUGGGCGUAAAGCGUACGCAGGCGGUUUGUUAAGCGAGAUGUGAAAGCCCCGGGCUUAACCUGGGAACUGCAUUUCGAACUGGCAAACUAGAGUGUGAUAGAGGGUGGUAGAAUUUCAGGUGUAGCGGUGAAAUGCGUAGAGAUCUGAAGGAAUACC